rnacentral:rRNA from 1 species
GACGAACGCUGGCGGCGUGCUUCAAACAUGCAAGUCGAACGGAACUAAAAGAGCUUGCUCUUUUAGUUUAGUGGCGGACUGGUGAGUAACGCGUGAGUAAUCUGCCUAUUACAGGGGGAUAACAGUUGGAAACGACUGCUAAUACCGCAUAAGACCACGAGGAGGCAUCUCUUUGGGGUCAAAGGGAUUCUGGUAAUAGAUGAGCUUGCGUAUCAUUAGCUAGAUGGUGAGGGUAAAGGCCCACCAUGGCGACGAUGAUUAGCCGAUCUGAGAGGAUGACCGGCCACACUGGAACUGAGAUACGGUCCAG